AUUGAACGCUGGCGGCAGGCCUAACACAUGCAAGUCGAACGGUAACAGGAAACAGCUUGCUGUUUCGCUGACGAGUGGUGGACGGGUGUGUCAUGUCUGGGAAACUGCCUGAUGGAGGGGGAUAACUACUGGAAACGGUAGCUAAUACCGCAUAACGUCGCAAGCCCAAAGGGGGGGACCCUCGGGCCUCUUGCCAUCGGAUGUGCCCAGAUGGGAUUAGAUUGUUGGUGGGGUAACGGGUCACCAAGGUGACGAUCCCCAACUGGUCGGAGAGGUUGACCAGCCACACUGGAACUGAGGCACGGUCCAGACUCCUACGGGAGGCAGCAGUGGGGAAUAUUGCACGAUGGGCGCAAGCCUGAUGCAGCCAUGCCGCGUGUAUGAAGAAGGCCUUCGGGUUGUAAAGUACUUUCAGCGUUGAGGAAGGGAGUAAAGUUAAUACCUUUGCUCAUUGACGUUACCCGCAGAAGAAGCACCGGCUAACUCCGUG
rnacentral:rRNA from 1 species